CUGCUUGCAUAAUUCAAACUGUGAUGUAGAUGUUGGGAGAACUGAAGGGGAAUAUAAAACUAGAGAACAGCUAGCAAGUAGAAACGUGGAACAGGAGCCUUGUCAUCACAGCAUGUUGGCAUUUGAAAUGAACCCAAAUACUGCAGUUCGCUUUUGGAUAUGGAUAAAGUUUUUUAACUUAGAAACCAACUAUUCAGUUUAGUAUCCACCCCUCGAUAAAACAUUUCCACUUUGAUUAGAGCAAAAGUUGUGCCUGCUUACUGGAAACAGCAUUCUUGGGAGAGAAUUUUGUCCUGGCUCUCAGGAAAAGCCAUGAAAGAUGCAGUUGCUUUCACUUUUGUACCUAUCCGCUCAUAUUGUCUCUCUCUUUGAUCUACUUCUCUGUGAGGUUUUAAAAUACCUCUAAUUCUGGGAUAGAAAUUCCAUAUUUGUGAGAAGUUUUAGGUUGGUAUGGGGGAGAGAAGGAAAGAGACUGAGAAGCAGCAGAAUUUUAUUGUCUGCUGAACAAGGUUGGGAUUUCUUAUUGACUGGUGAAGCAUCUCCAGGAAAUGACCAGGUACAAAGGGAACCUGAUGAGGGUGAUUCAGUUGCUUAUAUCGCAGAAGUGAUGUGAACAGUGCUCUGCAAUGAUUGGUUUUGAGUGGCUUUGGGAAUUCAGGCUUUCUUUCAGAACUCUGUAGAAUGCAUCAGAACAUAAUUACUGUCAUUUGUCCUUGAAAGAGAGAAAUUCUAUUCCAUGGUACAGUUGUUUGGUUUAUGCUAUCUGUGUUUGCCUCAUGUCAGUCUGGGUAAGACUGUGUUGCCCUUUUCCUGACGAUAUCCAAGCUUUAUACAAUGCGUUGUUAGCAGGAGUGUUUUCAUUUGUUGCAGGAUAAAUUGAUCCUUGUGUUCAGCUCAUAAAGCCACGAGGAUUCUCUGGAAUGAAAGGCACUAGGAGGUCUUCUAAGCUGGUAGAGUGUAAAACAAAAUCUGAAUACUCUGUAGUACAGAAUACAUCCAAAACUCAAGUUAUCCAUGCACCAGCAAAUCCACUGACACACUGAGAACUUGGGAGGGGACAAGAGGCUGUUCUUAAUUUCAGUCAUUCUUUAUCCAUCAGUACAAG
rnacentral:lncRNA from 13 species